rnacentral:rRNA from 1 species
GACGAACCGAGCGAACGUUAUUCGGAAUCACUGGGCUUAAAAGGGCGCGUAGGCGGGCGGCCAAGUCAGGGGUGAAAGCCCCCAGCUCAACUGGGGAAGUGCCUUUGAUACUGGCCAUCUCGAGGGAGGUAGGGGCGUGCGGAACUUCCGGUGGAGCGGUGAAAUGCGUAGAUAUCGGAAGGAACACCGGUGGCGAAAGCGGCGCGCUGGACCUCUUCUGACGCUGAGGCGCGAAAGCCAGGGGAGCAAAAGCGGG